CCUACGGGGGGCUGCAGUGGGGAAUAUUGCACAAUGGGGGAAACCCUGAUGCAGCGACGCCGCGUGAAUGAAGAAGUAAUUCGUUAUGUAAAGCUCUAUCAGCAGGGAAGAAAAUGACGGUACCUGAGUAAGAAGCCCCGGCUAACUACGUGCCAGCAGCCGCGGUAAUACGUAGGGGGCAAGCGUUAUCCGGAUUUACUGGGUGUAAAGGGAGCGUAGACGGCAGUGCAAGUCUGGUGUGAAAGGCCGGGGCUCAACCCCGGGACUGCAUUGGAAACUGGCAUGCUGGAGUGCCGGAGGGGCAAGUGGAAUUCCUAGUGUAGCGGUGAAAUGCGUAGAUAUUAGGAGGAACACCGGUGGCGAAGGCGGCUUACUGGACGGUAACUGACGUUGAGGCUCGAAAGCGUGGGGAGCAAACAGGAUUAGAUACCCUAGUAGUC
rnacentral:rRNA from 1 species